rnacentral:tRNA from 1 species
GCCCGGGUAGUCAAGCAAUGGCGCCCGCCCUGUAAGCGGGAGGUCGGGGGUUCGAUUCCCUCCCCGGGCU